rnacentral:rRNA from 1 species
CUACGGUGAAUACGUUCCCGGACCUUGUACACACCGCCCGUCAAGCCAUGGAAGCUGGGUGUACCUAAAGUCGAUAACCGUAAGGAGUCGCCUAGGGUAAAACUAGUAACUGGGGCU